rnacentral:rRNA from 1 species
AUACGGAGGAUGCGAGCGUUAUCCGGAUUUAUUGGGUUUAAAGGGAGCGUAGGUGGGAUAUUAAGUCAGCUGUGAAAGUUUGGGGCUCAACCUUAAAAUUGCAGUUGAUACUGGUUUCCUUGAGUACGGUACAGGUGGGCGGAAUUCGUGGUGUAGCGGUGAAAUGCUUAGAUAUCACGAAGAACUCCGAUCGCGAAGGCAGCUCACCGGGCCGGAACUGACACUGAUGCUCGAAAGUGCGGGUAUCAAACAAGAUUAGAUACCCUGGUAGUCCGCACAGUAAACGAUGAAUACUCGCUGUUUGCGAUACACUGUAAGCGGCCAAGCGAAAGCGUUAAGUAUUCCACCUGGGGAGUACGCCGGCAACGGUGAAACUCAAAUGAAUUGACGGGG